rnacentral:tRNA from 1 species
GUCCUCGUAGCUCAGUGGAUAGAGCGCUUCCUUGCGGAGGAAGAAGUCACAGGUUCAAAUCCUGUCGAGGACA